rnacentral:lncRNA from 1 species
GAGCACACUUAUCAAAACCUUAAAUACCCUCUCCAAGACGCUUAAAUCGGCAUCGGCAUCAACAUGAUUAGAAUGCUUCAGUUUGUCCGGGAACCGCUGAAGCACGUAGUACAAACAAGACAAAGCAUCCUGGCAUUGCUCCAGAACAAUAGGAGACGGCCUUGCCAACUUUUCAGUCUCCGAGACCACACUUUCCAACCCAAUAACAACAUCCCAGGCAACCAAAACGACGCAAUCUUCAAUUAUAUCCACCAAAUAACCCAACUUGG